CCAAAACUAGCUUUGGCUCUGCCACUGCCAGUACCCUUGUCUAUGCGUACCGUAUGUUGUUCCCUCGGUGGAGUCUCUCUGCCGCUGGGCAUCUUAAUAAACUCUUAUUGCAGUUAGAAGCAGUACACUUGUCUGAUUAUGGACUUUUAAAGACUAUCA
rnacentral:misc_RNA from 1 species